GACGAACGCUGGCGGCGUGCUUAACACAUGCAAGUCGAACGGAAAGGCCUCUUUCGGGGGGUACUCGAGUGGCGAACGGGUGAGUAACACGUGAGUAACCUGCCCUUGACUUUGGGAUAACUUCAGGAAACUGGGGCUAAUACCGGAUAGGAGCUCCUGCUGCAUGGUGGGGGUUGGAAAGUUUCGGCGGUUGGGGAUGGACUCGCGGCUUAUCAGCUUGUUGGUGGGGUAGUGGCUUACCAAGGCUUUGACGGGUAGCCGGCCUGAGAGGGUGACCGGCAAAAUGGGGAGUGAGAACCGACCCAGUCUCUUCGGGGGGGCAGAGGGGGGAAGUAUGGCAAAGUGGGUGGAGGCGUGACACAGCACCGCGGUGGGGGGGAUGCGGGCUUGGGGUUGGUAACCCGUUUUCGCUCGGGAGAAAGUUUUGUGGGGGGUAGGGGGAUAAAGAGCCACCGGCAAACUCGGUC
rnacentral:rRNA from 1 species